rnacentral:rRNA from 1 species
UACGAAAGGUGCAAGCGUUAAUCGGAAUUACUGGGCGUAAAGGGUGCGUAGGCGGUUAUUUAAGUCUGCCGUGAAAUCCCCGGGCUCAACCUGGGAAUGGCGGUGGAUACUGGAUAGCUAGAGUGUGUCAGAGGAUGGUGGAAUUCCCGGUGUAGCGGUGAAAUGCGUAGAGAUCGGGAGGAACAUCAGUGGCGAAGGCGGCCAUCUGGGACAACACUGACGCUGAAGCACGAAAGCGUGGGGAGCAAACAGG